rnacentral:lncRNA from 1 species
AUGGUCGGGCAAACGAGGAAUAAGCUCAGAGGUGCGGCUUCAGAGCCGUCGCACUCUCUCCGCUCCACGCAGUCUAGACGGCGGCGCCGGGCCACAGGAACUGGGGAGCGGGAGUUGGAGGAGGAGCCGAAGAAGGAGGUGAAAAGGCCGGAGCUGCCUUUGCGCACACGCAGGAGGAACCUGCCAGGGGGCGCCCGGAAUUAUUCGCCGCGGAGGAUCCGAAACCUGAAAACGCAGAACUGCGUGCCAGUGGAGAUGGUCACAAGGCCCGAUUUUCUGAACGGCCGCUUUCCGUUUCUCAGCUCUUUGCUGGAGCAGCUCUGGGACAAGGCUCAAGUAUUGCAAAGACGUCAGGUCUCGGGCAGGGGGGCCAUCGGCAUAGCUGCCUUUGUGGCAAUUUUGCACUGGGUACAUUUGGUAAGACUUUUUGAAAAUGAUCGUCAUUUUUCUCACCUCUCAGCCUUAGAACGGGAGAUGACUUUUCGCACUGAAAUGGGACUUUAUUAUUCCUACUUCAAGACCAUUGUUGAAGCACCUUCAUUUUUGCAAGGACUAUGGAUGAUUAUGAAUGACAGGCUCACUGAAUAUCCCCUUGUAAUUAAUACAGUGAAACGCUUCCAUCUUUAUCCAGAGGUGAUUUUAGCCUUCUGCUAUCGCACACUUGUGGGAAUAAUGAAUUUAUUUGGGUUAGAAACUAAGACCUGCUGGAACGUGACCAGAAUAGAACCUCUAAAUGAAGUUCAAAGCUGUGAAGGAUUGGGAGACCCUGCUUGCUUUUAUGUUGGUGUGAUUUUUAUUUUAAAUGGAAUAAUGAUGGGAUUGUUCUUCAUGUAUGGUGCUUACCUGAGUGGGACUCAACUUGGAGGUAUAAUUACAGUCGUAUGCUACUUUUUCAACCAUGGAGAGGCUACUCGGGUGAUGUGGACACCACCUCUCCGGGAAAGUUUUUCAUAUCCAUUUCUUGUACUUCAGAUGUACAUCUUAACUGUGAUUCUCAGGACAACGAACAAUAGUAGAAGGCACUUUAUUGCACUCUGCCUUUCCAAUGUUGCUUUUAUGCUUCCCUGGCAAUUUGCUCAGUUUAUACUUUUUACACAGGUGAUAAUUCUAAAGAGAAAUAAAAUUCAAAGAUUUGGAGUAUCUGAACUCCACUUUUGGGUAAUUCAAGGUAGUGCUUGGUUUUUUGGAACAAUCACUUUGAAAUUUCUGACGUCUAAAAUUUUAGGUGUUUCAGACCAUAUUCGCCUGAGUGACCUUAUUGCCGCCAGAAUCUUAAGAUAUACAGAUUUUGAUACCUUAAUUUACACCUGUGCUCCUGAAUUUGACUUCAUGGAAAAAGCGACGCCAGUGCGAUACUUAAAGACAUUGUUGCUUCCAACUAUUGUGGUGAUUACUUAUUUUAUCUUUAAAAAGGCUAUUCGUGAUAUUCAGUGUGUCUUAUGUGCAAACACUUAUCUAAGAAAACAGCUCCUUGAACAUGGUGAGAUAAUUUUUCACACAUUGCAGUUGUUUGCAUUUACUCCCCUUGCCAUUUUAAUUAUGAGGCUGAAGCUCUUUUUGACACCUCACAUGUGUGUUAUGGCUUCCCUGAUAUGUUCUCGGCGGCUCUUUGGCUGGCUUUUUUUCAGAGUUCGUUUUAUGCCUCUUAUCCUCAGUCUUGUAUCAAUAAUGUCAAUACAAGGUUAUGCAAACCUCCAUAAUCAAUGGAGCAUAAUAGGAGAAUUUAAUAAUUUGCCCCAGGAAGAACUGAUACAGUGGAUCAAAUACAAUACCAGGCCAGAUGCUGUUUUUGCUGGUGCCAUGCCUACGAUGGCAAGUGUCAAGCUUUCCACUCUUCACCCCAUUGUGAAUCACCCACAUUAUGAGGAUGCUGACUUGAGAGCUCGGACAAAAAUAGUUUACUCCGCAUAUAGUCGAAAAUCUGCAAAAGAAGUGAGAGAUAAGUUGGUGGAGUUACAUGUAAAUUACUACAUUUUAGAAGAGGCAUGGUGUGUUGUGAGAACUAAGCCCGGUUGCAGUAUGCUUGAAAUUUGGGAUGUGGAAGACCCUUCUAACUCAGCUAACCCUCCCUUAUGUAGCAUCUUGCUAAAGGAUGCGAGGCCAUACUUCACCACAGUGUUUCAGAAUAGUAUGUACAGAGUGUUAAAAGUUAAUUGA